AUUGAACGCUGGCGGCAGGCUUAACACAUGCAAGUCGAGCGGAGAUGAGGUGCUUGCACCUUAUCUUAGCGGCGGACGGGUGAGUAAUGCUUAGGAAUCUGCCUAUUAGUGGGGGACAACAUUCCGAAAGGAAUGCUAAUACCGCAUACGUCCUACGGGAGAAAGCAGGGGAUCUUCGGACCUUGCGCUAAUAGAUGAGCCUAAGUCGGAUUAGCUAGUUGGUGGGGUAAAGGCCUACCAAGGCGACGAUCUGUAGCGGGUCUGAGAGGAUGAUCCGCCACACUGGGACUGAGACACGGCCCAGACUCCUACGGGAGGCCGCAGUGGGGAAUAUUGGACAAUGGGGGGAACCCUGAUCCAGCCAUGCCGCGUGUGUGAAGAAGGCCUUAUGGUUGUAAAGCACUUUAAGCGAGGAGGAGGCUACUGAGACUAAUACUCUUGGAUAGUGGACGUUACCCGCAGAAUAAGCACCGGCUAACUCUGUGCCAGCAGCCGCCGUAA
rnacentral:rRNA from 1 species